UACAGAGGGUGCGAGCGUUAAUCGGAAUUACUGGGCGUAAAGCGCGCGUAGGCGGCUUUGCAAGUCGGGUGUGAAAUCCCCAGGCUUAACCUGGGAACUGCAUUCGAGACUGCAUUGCUAGAGUAUGGGAGAGGGAAGUGGAAUUUCCGGUGUAGCGGUGAAAUGCGUAGAUAUCGGAAGGAACAUCAGUGGCGGAAAGCGACUUCCUGGACCAAUACUGACACUGAGGAGCGAAAGCCAGGGGAGCAAACGGG
rnacentral:rRNA from 1 species